CCUACGGGAGGCAGCAGUGGGGAAUAUUGGACAAUGGGGGAAACCCUGAUCCAGCAAUGCCGCGUGUGUGAAGAAGGUCUUCGGAUUGUAAAGCACUUUUGGCAGGGACGAUGAUGACGGUACCUGCAGAAUAAGCCCCGGCUAACUUCGUGCCAGCAGCCGCGGUAAUACGAAGGGGGCUAGCGUUGCUCGGAAUGACUGGGCGUAAAGGGCGCGUAGGCGGCAUACACAGUCAGAAGUGAAAUUCCUGGGCUCAACCUGGGGACUGCUUUUGAUACGUGUGAGCUAGAGUGAAGAAGAGGGUUGUGGAAUUUCCAGUGUAGAGGUGAAAUUCGUAGAUAUUGGAAAGAACACCGGUGGCGAAGGCGGCAACCUGGUCUUUAACUGACGCUGAGGCGCGAAAGCGUGGGGAGCAAACAGGAUUAGAUACCCUGGUAGUCCACGCUGUAAACGAUGUGUGCUGGAUGUUGGGGAACUUAGUUUCUCAGUGUCGUAGCUAACGCGAUAAG
rnacentral:rRNA from 1 species